rnacentral:rRNA from 1 species
AGCGAACGCUGGCGGCGUGCCUAACACAUGCAAGUCGAACGUGAAAAGGGAAACCUGAGUAAAGUGGCGUACGGGUGAGUAACGCGUAGGUAAUCUACCCCAGAAUCUGGAAUAACCUGCCGAAAGGCGGGCUAAUACUGAAUGGGGGGAGGGAACUCGAAGGGGGGUUUUUCGGGAAGGGGAGCCCGCAAGGGCCUUCGUUCUGGGUGGAGCCUGCGUCUCAUUAGCUAGUUGGUAAGGUAACGGCUUACCAAGGCGAUGAUGAGUAGCUGGUCUGAGAGGAUGAUCAGCCACACUGGAACUGAAACACGGUCCAGACUCCUACGGGAGGCAGCAGUGGGGAAUCUUGCGCAAUAGACGAAAGUCUGACGCAGCCACGCCGCGUGAGUGAAGAAGGCCUUCGGGUUGUAAAGCUCUGUCGGAUGGGACGAACAUCUUCAUAGUGAAUAGCUAUGAGGACUGACGGUACCAUCAAAGGAAGCACCGGCUAACUCCGUG